UACAGAGGGUGCAAGCGUUAAUCGGAAUUACUGGGCGUAAAGGGUGCGUAGGUGGAUGCGUAAGUUAGAUGUGAAAGUCCUGUGGCUCAACCUGGGAGUGGCGUCUAAUACUGUGCAGCUAGAGUACUGUAGAGGAAAGUGGAAUUUCCGGUGUAGCGGUGGAAUGCGUAGAGAUCGGGAGGAACAUCCGUGGCGAAGGCGGCCAUCUGGAUCAACACUGACGCUGAGGCACGAAAGCGUGGGGAGCAAACAGG
rnacentral:rRNA from 1 species